UUUAAUGAUAAAUUCAACUUGGUGAACUCAUAUGAACUUUGCACAAUUGUUAGUGGUUGUAAUUUUAUAUCAACAAAACCGAAAAAAUGUAUACAUUUCAAAAUCAAAGUAAAUUAUUUAUUAAAGGUUUUUCUAACUUAAAUGUUCAGAAUAUUAUCAAACUGAUGAAUUCGUUCUUCAAAAAUUAAGUAUCAACUUCAGUUCCUGUUUGUACCAAAUCAUUAUACAUCAGAAGAGUCGAGUGUAUUUGCGCAAUGAGUCAAAUGGAUUGGAGUCGUAUAAUAUAAAUGUUUGGAUUCAGAGCCAAGAUCACAAUAUAUUAUUCCAAACUGAAACUAUUAAUUAAGAAUAAUUUAUUUUUAGAU
rnacentral:lncRNA from 1 species